CUGAGUGAUACUGCAUUGUACUUAGAAUCAUCAUACCUGAAUCCACUCAUUAUGCAGCUACGGGCCUGAUGACUUAGAUUUCAUUGCUGAGUGAUACUGCAUUGUACUUAGAAUCAUCGUACUUAAUCCACUCAUUAUGCUGCUACGGGCCUGAUGACAUAGAUUUCAUUGCUGAGUGAUAUUGCAUUGUACAGUGGACCCCAACAAGUGUCCCCCUGCCCAGUGUCAUUGGGGCCAACAGAUCGAGACUGAGUUUGGUUCACAAGCAAAGGAAACUUUAUAUUUUGAUCAGAGAAUGGAGAGUUAGAAUCAUCGUACUUAAUCCACUCAUUAUGCUGCUACGGGCCUGAUGACAUAGAUUUCAUUG